rnacentral:tRNA from 1 species
GGCUGGUUAGCAUAAUCGGUUAAUGCGCCCUACGGCUGCGCCUAGCGCAGCCUCCCCUCGAAUGGUACUUGUUUCAGGUAGCAUUCGAGGGGUAGAUGGAGGUUCGAGUCCUCCGCCAGCCACCA